GAUCCUGGCUCAGGAUGAACGCUAGCUACAGGCUUAACACAUGCAAGUCGAGGGGCAGCAUGUUGGUUGCUUGCAACCAACGAUGGCGACCGGCGCACGGGUGAGUAACGCGUAUCCAACCUUCCGCAUACUCGGGAAUAGCCUUUCGAAAGAAAGAUUAAUGCCCGAUGGUUUCCCGAAUCCGCAUGAGCGCGGGAAUAAAGAUUCAUCGGUAUGCGAUGGGGAUGCGUCCCAUUAG
rnacentral:rRNA from 1 species